rnacentral:rRNA from 1 species
UAUUUGAGAGUUUGAUCCUGGCUCAGGAUGAACGCUGGCGGCGUGCCUAACACAUGCAAGUUGAGCGAUUUACUUCGGUAAAGAGCGGCGGACGGGUGAGUAACGCGUGGGUAACCUACCCUGUACACACGGAUAACAUACCGAAAGGUAUGCUAAUACGGGAUAAUAUAUUUGAGAGGCAUCUCUUAAAUAUCAAAGGUGAGCCAGUACAGGAUGGACCCGCGUCUGAUUAGCUAGUUGGUAAGGUAACGGCUUACCAAGGC